ACAUCAAUCACCUGGGGAUCUUGUAAAAAUGCAGAUUCUGAUUUACUAGGUUUGGGGUAGGGUCUGAGGGUCUGCAUUUCUAACAAGUUCUCAGGUGACUACUGU
rnacentral:pre_miRNA from 1 species